CAGGCCCGCGGGUGCUGGUGGGGGGGCCCGGGCCUCUGGUCCCCGGUACAGGUGGCUCGCAGGGGAAUAAAGAAAAGAUUUCGGGUUGAUGGUGAGAAAGAGGGAUCACUUCCUGAGGUCGGUUAGCUGUGUUUAUUUCAUGAAAUAAAUGCUUAUUUAUGAGUUUAGCUGAAAAGGAAAAACAGAUGGGCUCUAUUGUAUAAGCUAAUAGCAAUAGCAGUAAAAGUAUCAAAAUGAGGGGCGGUCUCUUGUUUCGGCUGGGCAUUUUUUGACGCAAAGGCCACGCUCCAGAGGUAUCCUCGUGGCUCCAGAGCAGCAGAGCUGCCUCUCCACCACAGAGUAAAGAAGAUGUGCCUUUGUGAGCCUGGGCCGCCGUGGGAUCUGUGUCCCCUGCAGCAGUGAGCUCUGCUCCCCUGGACAGCCCGGCCGGCCUGGCCUGCCACCCACAGCGGUGCUGCCUCGGCAGUAUGGGCCGAACAGCCUCAGGAGCCUGGCUGCGUGCCCCCGCGCUGCUUCUGCAGCCGUGACACGUGUCAAGCGUUGAGGUGAAAUGAAGGGAUUUCUGUGAGCUUUUCCAAAGGACAAAAAUCGGUUAUGCAUAUGAAGUCACUGAAGUUAACAGAAGCACUCAUGUAUGGGUAUUGCAGCAUAAAUUAUCUUCAGCUGAAGAAACAAGAUGGUUGUGAAGAAAGAGGAAAGACAAUUCUCACUGCGUCAGAGAGGAAGGAUGCAUUGUCUUCCUGAAUUUGGAGGAAGAGAAUAAUAAUUAAAACCAUCCUCAUCACCA